rnacentral:lncRNA from 1 species
GGUGAACCUAGGGGAGACCACUGAGAACUUUUCUUAACUCCAGGAAUAACUACUCCUUACCAACCUGCCCUUAAAACUUCUAGAAGAAGUCCACAUGUAUACUUGUAUUUGGGACCUCUGGAGUGGUGGUGCACGCCUUUAAUGUCCCCACUGGGGAAGCAGGAGCAGGAGAAUCCGAGUUCGAGGCCAGCCUGGUCUACAGAGUGAGUUCCCGGGCAGCCAGGACUACACAGAGAAACCCUGUCUCGAGGGGAAAAAAAAAGAUAUUCUACUGGUAA